GCAUCCAUGAUGAAGCUGCUUGGUGUUGGAGGUCAGUCUGGAGGAUGUUUGGACCAUGUUGACUCAAAUCCAAGGUGCAAUCAAUCUUGCACUUUGUGUGCUAGCGCUUUGAGAUGAAGCAACAACUUCUUGCUUUCAGGCCCACUGAAGGACAAAGCUUCCGACUGGUGACAGAGAUGGUGCACACAGCCAGGGGAAUAGGUGAGAGGAGCACUGGUCACCCAAAGGACUGGAUGAUGGA